GGCUUUAUAUUCAAAUAUGAUUUAAAAUUGCAAAUUUUAAGGUAUAAUAAAAUAUUAUUAAGGCUU
rnacentral:tRNA from 1 species